rnacentral:rRNA from 1 species
GACGAACGCUGGCGGCGUGUCUAACACAUGCAAGUCGAGCGGGGAACUUCGGUUCCUAGCGGCGGACGGGUGAGUAACACGUGGGUAACCUGCCUUGUAGAGGGGGAUAGCCUUCCGAAAGGAAGAUUAAUACCGCAUAACAUUGUUUUUUCGCAUGAAGAAACAAUCAAAGGAGCAAUCCGCUACAAGAUGGACCCGCGGCGCAUUAGCUAGUUGGUGAGGUAACGGCUCACCAAGGCGACGAUGCGUAGCCGGCCUGAGAGGGUGAACGGCCACAUUGGAACUGAGACACGGUCCAGACUCCUACGGGAGGCAGCAGUGGGGAAUAUUGCACAAUGGGCGAAAGCCUGAUGCAGCAACGCCGCGUGAGUGAUGAAGGCCUUCGGGUUGUAAAGCUCUGUCUUCUGGGACGAUAAUGACGGUACCAGAGGAGGAAGCCACGGCUAACUACGUGCCAGCAGCCGCGGUAACAC